rnacentral:rRNA from 1 species
GAUGAACGCUGGCGGCGUGCCUAAUACAUGCAAGUCGAGCGAACAGAUAAGGAGCUUGCUCCUUUGACGUUAGCGGCGGACGGGUGAGUAACACGUGAGUAACCUACCUAUAAGACUGGAAUAACUCCGGGAAACCGGGGCUAAUGCCGGAUAACAUUUAGAACCGCAUGGUUCUAAAGUGAAAGAUGGUUUUGCUAUCACUUAUAGAUGGGCCCGCACCGUAUUAGCUAGUUGGUAAGGUAAUGGCUUACCAAGGCAACGAUACGUAGCCGACCUGAGAGGGUGAUCGGCCACACUGGAACUGAGACACGGUCCAGACUCCUACGGGAGGCAGCAGUAGGGAGUCUUCCGCAAUGGGCGAAAGCCUGACGGAGCAACGCCGCGUGAGUGAUGAAGGGUUUCGGCUCGUAAAACUCUGUUAUUAGGGAAGAACAAACGUGUAAGUAACUGUGCACGUCUUGACGGUACCUAAUCAGAAAGCCACGGCUAACUACGUGCCAGCAGCCGCAGUAACAC